rnacentral:rRNA from 1 species
GACGAACGCUGGCGGCGUGCCUAAUACAUGCAAGUAGAACGCACAGUUUAUACCGUAGCUUGCUACACCAUAGACUGUGAGUUGCGAACGGGUGAGUAACGCGUAGGUAACCUGCCUGGUAGCGGGGGAUAACUAUUGGAAACGAUAGCUAAUACCGCAUAAUAUUGAUUAUUGCAUGAUAAUUGAUUGAAAGAUGCUAUUGCAUCACUACCAGAUGGACCUGCGUUGUAUUAGCUAGUAGGUGAGGUAACGGCUCACCUAGGCGACGAUACAUAGCCGACCUGAGAGGGGGAUCAGCCACACUGGGACUGAGACACGGCCCAGACUCCUACGGGAGGCAGCAGUAGGGAAUCUUCGGCAAUGGACGAAAGUCUGACCGAGCAACGCCGCGUGAGUGAAGAAGGUUUUCGGAUCGUAAAGCUCUGUUGUAAGAGAAGAACGGGUGUGAGAGUGGAAAGUUCACACUGUGACGGUAGCUUACCAGAAAGGGACGGCUAACUACGUG